rnacentral:rRNA from 1 species
UACGAAGGGGGCUAGCGUUGUUCGGAUUUACUGGGCGUAAAGCGCACGUAGGCGGAUCCUUAAGUCAGGGGUGAAAUCCCGAGGCUCAACCUCGGAACUGCCUUUGAUACUGGGGAUCUCGAGUUCGGGAGAGGUGAGUGGAAUUGCGAGUGUAGAGGUGAAAUUCGUAGAUAUUCGCAAGAACACCAGUGGCGAAGGCGGCUUCCUGGACCGACACUGACGCUGAGGCGCGAAAGCUAGGGGAGCAACAGGGG